rnacentral:rRNA from 1 species
GGAGUUAGCCGGUGCUUCUUCUGUGAGUGAUGUCCUUCCUGCCGGCUAUUAACCCGCAGGCCUUCUUCCUCACUGAAAGUGCUUUACAACCCGAAGGCCUUCUUCACACACGCGGCAUGGCUGGAUCAGGGUUGCCCCCAUUGUCCAAUAUUCCCCACUGCUGCCUCCCGUAGGAGUCUGGGCCGUGUCUCAGUCCCAGUGUGGCUGAUCAUCCUCUCAGACCAGCUACGGAUCGUCGCCUUGGUGAGCCGUUACCUCACCAACCAGCUAAUCCGACAUAGGCUCAUCCGAUAGCGCGAGGCCCGAAGGUCCCCCGCUUUCCCCCGUACGGGCGUAUGCGGUAUUAGCCUGGGUUUCCCCACGGUUAUCCCCCACUACCGGGCAGAUUCCUAUGCAUUACUCACCCGUCCGCCGCUCGCCACCAGGGAGCAAGCUCCCCGUGCUGCCGCUCGACUUGCAUGUGUUAGGCCUGCCGCCAGCGUUCAAUCUGAGCCAGGAUCAAACUCUGA